rnacentral:rRNA from 1 species
GACGAACCGUGCGAACGUUGUUCGGAAUCACUGGGCUUAAAGGGCGCGUAGGCGGACGACCAAGUCGGGGGUGAAAUCUUUCGGCUCAACCGGAAAAUAGCCUUCGAUACUGGCCGUCUGGAGGGAGGUAGGGGCGUGUGGAACUUCCGGUGGAGCGGUGAAAUGCGUUGAUAUCGGAAGGAACUCCGGUGGCGAAAGCGACACGCUGGAUCUCAUCUGACGCUGAGGCGCGAAAGCCCAGGGGAGCGAACGGG